rnacentral:piRNA from 1 species
UUCCUGCGAAGAGAGCACAGGGGCAAGGGC